AAGUCUUUGAUUAAUCGAGUUGACUUGUCGGAAUCAGAGGCUGAGGCUUCUCUGGAUUUUCUUUUGCAUGAAGCUAAUGAGGCGUUGAUCAGUGCCUUUCUUGUUCUAUUGAGAGCAAAAGGAGAAACUUAUGAAGAAAUAGUGGGAUUGGCAAGGGCAAUGAUCAAGCAUUGUAAAAGGGUGGAAGAAUUGGAUGAAGAUGGGGUUGACAUUGUUGGGACGGGAGGUGACGGUGCAAACAUCGUGAACAUUUGAACUGGUGCUUCAAUUCUUGCUGCUGCUUGUGGUGCAAAAAUUGCAAAACAAGGUAAUCGAUCAAGUUCUUCAGCUUGUGGAAGUGCCGAUGUGUUAGAAGCCUUGGGGGUUGUAAUUGACCUGGACCCAGAG